AUAGAAGUUCAAUAUUUACAAAACAUCCAAAAAUCCUACAAGUUGUAAAAUUUGUCUACAUUCAAAAGUCAUCAUCAGCUUUAUCGAUUUCGUCAUCUGUAGAAACUCAGCUACAAGCUCGUCGGUGGGGUAGCCUGCUCAUACUUUACGGGAUAGAACGAAAGUGACGAAAGUCCUCGCGCAUGACAGCUUUCGAUGACGGUGUGAAAAUUACACGAGCUCAACGAUAUAAAGAACUGAAGGAAUUAAUCUAUGAUUAUUAUUUCAAAAAAUAGCAAACAAUGGAGUCUAGAAAAAUAUUAACAAUAGAAGAAAAAUCUCUGUAUUUCAUUUCGUCGUGCAAAAUUCGAUUCAAUUCGAAACGAAACUUCGAGGCCUGCUUCUCCGAUUGGUUUAGUUCUCAUUCUCCCGCUAGAUGUCAUGUGUUUCCACUGAUUCACCAUCGGGCCAGAAAAAACUUGACAAAGGUCUGCGGCGUCAGCGGCCUGCAGGCAGAUCGGCGCGAUCAAAUAUUCGAUGUCUUCGAUGUCAACCAGCACCACCAGCACAAAACCAAUUGAUCUUUUGACGUGCUUAUCUGCCUUUUGUCGACGUCUAAGAAACUUUGGAAAUUCGACGAAAUUUUCAGUGUGUAACCAAACAAAUUUUUCGCUAACGACGAUCAGCACACUACUUCGGGAUCCUUGUGAAGCAAUCAUAACCUAAAAUUGACAUAUUUCAGUAAAAUGCAAAUCGUGUAAUUCAAAGUUUCAUGUUCGUGUAUAUAUUAUCGUAAAUACAUUGUUUAUAAAACA